rnacentral:rRNA from 1 species
CCUACGGGUGGCUGCAGUGAGGAAUAUUGGUCAAUGGACGCAAGUCUGAACCAGCCAUGCCGCGUGCAGGAAGACGGCUCUAUGAGUUGUAAACUGCUUUUGUACGAGGGUAAACGCAGAUUAGCGUAUCUGUCUGAAAGUAUCGUACUAAUAAGGAUCGGCUAACUCCGUGCCAGCCGCUGCGGUACUAUGGAGGAUACAAGCGUUAUCUGGAUUUAUUUGGUUUAAAGGGUGCGUAGGCGGUCGGAUAAGUUAGAGGUGAAAUCCCGAGGUUCAACUUCGGAAUUGACUCUGAUACUGUUCGGCUAGAGAGUAGUUGCGGUAAGCGGAAUGUAUGGUGUAGCGGUGAAAUGCUUAGAGAUCAUACAGAACACCGAUUGCGAAGGCAGCUUACCAGGCUACUUCUGACGUUGAGGCACGAAAGCGUGGGGAGCAAACAGGAUUAGAUACCCGGGUAGUC